UAGAGUGAGAAGUGAAAGAAGAGAAAAGUGAACUCUGUAUACUUUGUAUUAUAUAUUUGAACAUCAUCAACUUGUUCUUCAAUAGUAUUCAAAAGGCACAUAUCAAACAAGUGUUGGAUUUAUUCAAUAUGAGUAAACCAUAAAUGGUUUACUAUAUGUAAUAGGAAUUAAUGUAUAAGUUGGAAAUCAGUAAAGUUAUGAUUUGAUUCUCACGUAUCAACCAUACAUUACAUUCUAAGUAUGUUUUCAUUAAGUCCUAUUAAUAAUAUAUGAUUAUGAUACUUUACUUGACAACCAAGAAGCAAAGUUUUUAGCUUUCCCUUAUGGACGAAAUCUAAAGCUUUUGGCUGGUAUAUAAACACCGAUCCCUGCAAAUUCCCUAGACACAACAACUAAGGCUUCCCAUAGAGCAUUGUAAUCAAGCUAGGAGUUCGCGGAAGACUUGGUGUUUUGUCAUUCUCGAUCGGUUCUUCACAAGAUCAUUGUUUCCAUGGCUGCAGCUGCACCUUCUUCAGGUAAGAGUUUUAUAUUUGUUCUUGUCAAUUACUCAGCAAGUGUUUUGAUCAUAUAAACACUAUGGCUAACAACAAGAACAUCCCUAUUUCACGAACAAAUGGAUUAGAGCUUAAGGCCAAGUCAGAAAGGUUAUCACGUUGAAGUAAAGGUGGUUCAGAUAAGAACACAUGCAUGAAGGUCGCGCAACAUCUGUAUGAUCCAAUAAACUUUAGAAGCAAUGUUCGGCAAAUGAAGUUGUUAAACGCCGAAGAAUUCAUACACUGACACGCAUGGUUCAUCGAAAACGCUGUCUGGUACGAUGAAGGUGAGGUAUUGAACUUCUUCCACUAAGCUCCUUUAAAGUGUACAGAGUUUGGUCAAACAACUCCUCCAUUUUUUAAUAAAUUACAUAUAUAUGAGGUGUAUUACAUAUCCAUGCAAGCUUUGGAAAGAAAAUCCCAUGUAUGCCUACCUUGAUUAGGGAAAAUGUCCCCAUUUGAUGCAUAAGAAACCUGAAUUUUUAGAAAUAGUUACAUAUGGCCAUGUCUUUCAUAACAAAAACAACACCCAAAUCAUCUAUUACACUUUAAACCAAGGACAUAUAUAGAAGAUCCUAUUAAUAUAAUGUUAACAACAUAUAAUAACAAUAUAACCACAUCAGCAACAGGUUGUUUAAGAAAGAGACAUAUGGGUCAGUUUGAGAAACUGUUAAACCGAGAGUAAAUUUGAUUUUCCAUGCUUUUAGUGUAGAGUUAUCAAAGAGACGAGCUUAAUGUCUACUUCCAACAAUAUCGAUAUUGUCCCUAAUUUGGUAAUUACCAAUUGCACCAUCCGUCAGAUAUGAGGUUUUAUAUAUUUAAACUCUUAUGUUCUCAAAUGAACGGUUGAUGUAGGAUAUUUCAACACGCCCUCACGUGGGACCCAAUUAGUGGGUUACACGUGGGAGAUCCACACAUCGACAACCACAUGGAGCCUAGGGAACUCACCCUACACGCAGGGCCAAGGGACCCACCAUCAUCGCAAGGGGCCAAGGGGACCCACCCAUCACGUGGCAGUAUGGGCCUGCUCGCUUACUCUAAUUCUAUGUUGAAAAUAUGUGAAUUAUGAGAGAAUUUCUCCUGUAUUGAUUGGUCAAUAAUAUUACAAGAUGUAGAGCUAUAUUUAUACAAUCUAUAAUGAUCUAUUCUAGGUGCAGCUAUAUACAACAAUUACAAUCAAUCUUCAUAGCUAAUUGAUACGUUGCUACAAUCAAGCAAUCUUGCUUUCUUUCCGUUAAUACUUAGUGCUUGUGUCAACCCAUAUAUUUAAAAAUUUCAACAAUUUACGGAUAAAUUCCAGAUGAGCAAAAUCUUCAAAACCCUAGUCUAACUAGUACAAAUCAUACGUGGUCAUGGUAAACGAAAUAAAGGACUUAAUAUUAGGCCAUACAUACCAUCAAUAUAAGAGAGAUUGUGUUCAGAUUCGGACCCGAUAUAUAAUAUCAGUACAUUAACUGAGUGGCAUUAAAAUCGUUAAUGUAAAAGAAGUUCAAUCUGCACGUGUUUUUUACAUUAAUUUCAUUUAAACCCCACCAUGAAUUUCAGUAAAUAUUUCACCAAAGAAAAAUUAAAAAGGAGGAAUUAGAACCAAAAUAGAAGUGCAGAGAAAAAGGGUUUGAUGGCUUGACCUAAAAACGGUUUAAAAUGUAUAUAUUGGAUAAUAUAAUUAAAUGAGUAUUUGAAAGAAAAGAAAGAAAAAGAAUAGCAUCUAUACUCCUGCUACGGUAGAUAGUAUAGAAGUCUUCGUGUUCUCUCUUUAACCCAAACUACAACGCAGGUUUUUUUUAUGUGGAUUCAAAAGUGCACUCAUUAAUGCAUAUAUAACAAACACACGUAAAAGGGAUAAAAUGCAAAGAAUCCUUGGCGCUCAAAGAGUAAAUAAUAUUCCAAAAAUCUUCCCUAAACUCUAAAUUACAUAGCUUAUAUAGAAAAAAAAAUAACCUAAAGCCUUAAUAAGAAAUAAAAAUACAAUAACAUAAAUAACAUAAUUUGUUACAGAAAAAGAAAUAAUGAUUUCCCCCUGCAUCACUUCUUUAACUUUUUUAGUUUCUUAUUUGAAAAAACAGAUUGCACAUUCAAUUCACUAUAGCUAAAAGGCUGACAUCAAACUUUGGAUCAUCAUAAAUGAUGAUCCAUUGUUUUAUAACUUGGCUAUAGGGUUUAGGGUUUCUUUUCCCAAUUAGUACGUCGUUCUAACAAUACUGUAAAUCUAAUUAAUCCAUGCAAUAUUAUUUUUGUUUGAGGAACAAGAAAUGCUGUUGGUUUGACUCGACCUAAUUGGUAAUAUCAUGUUAGAUGCAGAGUAAUACUUCGUAAUGUUUGGUGCGUGAUACUCUUUAGUUGAAAGCUCCAUUAAAAUUUUAAAUGAGGUCACAAUUUCCUGCACCCUAAAAAUACCAAAUUCACAUCUACAUUCGCUAACCCUAAGUGAUGUAUUUUAAACAGAAAUUGUGACCUCAUUUAAAAUUUUAAUGAUAUCAUAAACUUGAAUCAUUUUUCACAUGAAGUCACAAUUUUAAUUACUACUUAGAUUUAUGAUUUUUUUUUAAUAACCAAACUUUUUUUGUUAUGAUUUUAAAGUUUUGGUGGGCAAGGGUGUGACAAGCUAUUAUUUAACAGAGAAUUUAACGGAUAAAAUAACAGAAAUAUGAUUUUUGGAGCAAAAAGUAACUUUAGGUAUAAAAGUGAUACAAAAGAAGUAAAUGUAGUAAAGUGUUAAUUUUGAUAAACUUAAGGGUAAUAAAGUAUAAAUUAUCCACAAAUUAAUUAUUGGAAAAUAAACUUUAAGGGUAGCUAGCUCGGUCCGAUAUGACGUUGUCAGCUAGAAGUGGGACACAAAUCUUUACUUCUUGAACCGCAUGUAUAUAAUACUCAUCAAUAAUCACAACGGUUCUAACCCUGGCCUCUGGCCUAGUAAAUAUAGCAAUCCAAACUAUAUUAAUUCUUACAGAGAGAAAGGGUAGUUUGAAUAAAUAGAUCAUAAUUUCCAUGUUUGGGUAACAAAAAAAAUUAAAUAAAUAAAACCCAUUUGUGUCCGAUAUAAAUAGUAAUGCAAUGUGGCCGUUCUAGGUCGU
rnacentral:lncRNA from 1 species